UACGUAGGUGGCAAGCGUUGUCCGGAUUUACUGGGCGUAAAGAGCGCGCAGGCGGUCGUUCAAGUCGCGUGUGAAAGCCCCCGGCUCAACUGGGGAGGGUCACGCGAUACUGAUCGACUCGAAGGCAGGAGAGGGUAGUGGAAUUCCCGGUGUAGUGGUGAAAUGCGUAGAGAUCGGGAGGAACACCAGUGGCGAAAGCGGCCGACUGGACCUGUCCUGACGCUGAGGCGCGAAAGCGUGGGGAGCGAACCGG
rnacentral:rRNA from 1 species